CCCGCCAGGUGGGAAGAACUUAAGAGCCCGGGGAAGCCGCCUCUCGGCCCCAAUUGGUGCGGCUGCGCCGGGAACUUCCGGGCCAAACCGUGCGUGUUUCCGGUCAAUAUGGCGGCGCCCAGCAGAGUCAGGUGCGGGCGAGUCUAUCUUCGGUAGCGGCGGCGACACGAGGCUCGGACCCCCAGGAGUCGACCCUUCAGGACGCCAGAGCUUCAGCGGUGACCACCCCCCACCCCAGCAAGUUCUUGCUUUCUUCGCAAACUGCCCAUGGCGAACCAGGGCUCCGGGGGCAGUCGCCUUCCCCUGGCGCUGCCCUCAGCCUCCCAGGAUUGCUCGUCAGGGGGCAGCGGCUCCUCCGAGGGCGGCUCGGGCCAUCCCCCGCCCCCGCGAAACCUCCAAGGCCUGCUGCAGAUGGCCAUCACGGCGGGCUCUGAAGAGCCAGACCCACCUCCAGAACCCAUGAGUGAGGAGAGGCGCCAGUGGCUGCAGGAGGCCAUGUCGGCCGCCUUCCGGGGCCCGCGGGAGGAGGUGGAGCAGAUGAAGAACUGCCUCCAGGUGCUGUCCCAGCCCACGCCCUCCUCGGCUGGCGAGGCUGAACUGGCCGCUGACCAGCAGGAGCGCGAGGGAGCCCUGGAGCUGCUGGCGGACCUGUGUGAGAACAUGGACAACGCAGCAGACUUCUGCCAGCUGUCGGGCAUGCACCUGCUGGUGGGCCGCUACCUGGAGGCGGGGCCGGCGGGGCUGCGGUGGCGAGCAGCACAGCUCAUCGGCACGUGCAGCCAGAAUGUGGCAGCCAUCCAGGAGCAGGUGCUGGGCCUCGGAGCCCUGCGCAAGCUGCUGCGCCUGCUGGACCGGGACCCCUGUGACACGGUGCGCGUCAAGGCCCUCUUCGCCAUCUCCUGCCUGGUCCGGGAGCAGGAGGCCGGGCUGCUGCAGUUCCUCCGCCUGGACGGCUUCUCCGUGUUGAUGCGGGCCAUGCAGCAGCAGGUGCAGAAGCUCAAGGUCAAGUCGGCGUUCCUGCUGCAGAACCUGCUGGGACCCUGUGCGCCAUGGGCAUGGUCCAGCAGCUUGUGGCCCUUGUGCGGACAGAACACAGCCCCUUCCACGAGCACGUGCUUGGAGCCCUGUGCAGCUUGGUGACAGACUUCCCCCAGGGCGUGCGGGAGUGCCGAGAGCCCGAGCUGGGCCUGGAGGAGCUUCUGCGGCACCGGUGCCAGCUGCUGCAGCAGCAUGAGGAGUACCAGGAGGAGCUGGAGUUCUGUGAAAAGUUGCUACAGACCUGUUUCUCUACCCCAACUGAUGACAGCAUGGAUCGGUGAAACCCAGUGGCUUCUCUCCCCUUCUUCAUGGGAACCCCAGGCCUCCUGCCUUCCCCUCACCCAUGAAGCCCUCUCCCAAAGGAGAGAAGGGCCUUGUUGGUGCCGCGCCGGGGCGUGUCAGCCUGUCUCUGCUCAGUCCCCAGGAUGGGUACUGAAAAAGGCGCUGCCUCCCUGGAUCCCACCUCUCACGCACUCUCACUCCACUCCCCCUUCUUGUGUCCACACUGCUCUUCCAGUAAAGGUGUUCCUCCUCCUCCGCCUCCUUCACUGCCACCUUCGACACCUCGCCUGGAGAGUGCCUUGGUUGGGGAGGAGGGGCACAAUCGGGGGAUCUAGGGAGCCAAGAAGGGAACAGCAGUGGGCGGAACCUUGGAAUAAUAAAAAAGUGUUGCUCUCUAAA